rnacentral:rRNA from 1 species
UACGUAGGGCGCAAGCGUUAUCCGGAAUUAUUGGGCGUAAAGAGCUCGUAGGCGGCUUGUCGCGUCGGAUGUGAAAGCCCGGGGCUUAACUCCGGGUCUGCAUUCGAUACGGGCAGGCUAGAGUGUGGUAGGGGAGAUCGGAAUUCCUGGUGUAGCGGUGAAAUGCGCAGAUAUCAGGAGGAACACCAAUGGCGAAGGCAGAUCUCUGGGCCGUAACUGACGCUGAGGAGCGAAAGCAUGGGGAGCGAACAGG